rnacentral:rRNA from 1 species
GACGAACGCUGGCGGCGUGCUUAACACAUGCAAGUCGAACGGAAAGGCCCUGCUUGCCGGGUACUCGAGUGGCGAACGGGUGAGUAACACGUGGGUGAUCUGCCCUGCACUUCGGGAUAAGCCUGGGAAACUGGGUCUAAUACCGGAUAGGAGCCAUUUUUAGUGUGAUGGUUGGAAAGUUUUUUCGGUGUAGGAUGAGCUCGCGGCCUAUCAGCUUGUUGGUGGGGUAAUGGCCUACCAAGGCGGCGACGGGUAGCCGGCCUGAGAGGGUGGACGGCCACAUUGGGACUGAGAGACGGCCCAGACUCCGACGGGAGGCAGCAGUGGGGAAUAUUGCACAAUGGGCGCAAGCCUGAUGCAGCGACGCCGCGGGGGGGAUGACGGCCUUCGGGUUGUAAACUCCUUUCGCUAGGGACGAAGCUUUUUGUGACGGUACCUAGAGAAGAAGCACCGGCUAACUACGUG